UUUUUACAAUGGAGAGUUUGAUCCUGGCUCAGGAUGAACGCUAGCGGCAGGCCUAACACAUGCAAGUCGAGGGGC
rnacentral:rRNA from 1 species